GGUCUGGUGCACUCCUUUCAAGGUUUUGUCUUUGCUAAUGUACGUCUAUUCUGUUCAAAUGUUAUACUAGAGGUGUGCCAGAGCCUGUGGGGUUGGAUCUGUGGAAUUGGGUAAUAUAUUUGUUCACGUGGACCGGCGUGUUCGUGGGUUGUUUGUUCAUCUUCAGCCGUUGGUGCUGCUGAACUUGUUCCGUGUGUGUUGAGCUGUAGGUGUGGCUUUCGGUGGAGGUCGGCGAAGAAAACUGAAGGUUGUUUCAGUGCGGUCUCGUGUCAGCUGCGGGCUGUUUCAAUGCGGGUCGACGAUGUUAGGUGCAGCUUUCUUCACUGGCGUUUCGUGAAGACCGGACGUAGUAGUCUAACCAUUAAAAUAAAUCAUACGAAUGAAAGAAAAGCAAUCUUUAGAAGUAUUUAUCAUAUAGUUGACUGUUUAACAAGGACAAUUAAAACUUCUGUAUUGUGAUACCGUAUGUUCUUCAACUCGCUGAAUUGAUGUUCCCCUGUUUUAACCUUGUAAGUUCACUUUCAUUACUCUUACACCCUAAGCUAGUUAGGAUGCUGGCUACUCGAAUAAUCGGAUCUAUACUAUGAUUACCUACUCGUCCAAACAAAAAAUUAUAUAAAUUAACCUUAGAAAGACAGUGUACUUCGUUGUUAAUGAUUGGUAUAAAAUAAGAAAGUCGUCCCACUUUAUUAGGUACAAUGAUAGACCUUCUUAGAAUAUCUGCGAAAAUCUAGUUUCUAGUUACUUUUUAGAUAAAUACGUAAGUCGUUAAAAUUCCAGCACCUUAGGUGUUUUAUAUCCGGUCACUCGUUACUGUAAUUUUAUAAAAAACGUAUGUUAUGUUUCCAUUUCCUCUAUUUUCUUAGAAGUCUUCAAAAGGGUCUAAUAACGAAGCUCAAACGAUGGUAGCUCUGUGAUCUUCUUUCCCGUCUUUUUCUAUGUGUUACGAGUCCAUACAAAUAUCAACAUUAAAGCUGAAGCUUUAUCAACUAUAAGAUUAACAAUAUAGUGAUUAUAGGUUUAUACGUCUACAGUAACCUGAUGAUUGUGUUUACUUCGGACACCUCUGUUCUUAUUGUUUCUUCUUGGUUGUUGGAAGUAUAUAGGCGCUCUAACUUUAGGAUUACGGUCUCAUUCACGUAUACGUAUACGUACAGAGUUUAAAUUGGUUUGGAGGGGCACACGUGAUUGAAGAGCAUAAUUUACGAAAACCCCACUAUUUUAGUCUUAGUGCAAUACCCCUUUCAAACGAAUAAAAAACUGGCUCCUACAUUAGCCGUCGGUUUGACAGGAAUAAUAAUGUAGUUGCUACCAUGUCUCUAAAUUACCAUUUAGGUAUUUUGAAUGUACAAUAAAAAUAGUAAAUUUUAAGAUUGACUACCUAAUUUAUCCAGACACGGAUUUCAGUUGGUCACGGUGUUCUUAUAUAUAUCUAGACCUAUAUGGUCUUUGUGUUCUUGAAGAACUAUCCAUACUUUAUGGUGGUUAAAUAAAUAAAAGGUGAAUAUUUAUCACUGAGUGCAAGUAAAUUCUAAGUUAUAAUAAUAAGUGAAGUACGUACACGUCCCUGAGCUGUCUUCUUUGGAAUGGUUUUUACUAGCCAUAUCUAUCCUCAUUAGUUCCUUGUGAUCUUCUUGUUUACAAAAUAUCCUCCUUUUGUAACCUUGUUGAAUGAUGUUACUCCGUGCUUUUGGUCGGUCUGGUCCAUUACGUAGCUUAAAGUUAUUUAUACAGUAAUCAGAAACAUUAUACUCAUUUUAUGUACGUUCCUGUUAAGUAAGUUAUAAUUAAUAUUACUUUGGUAUUACAUGAAUAUAUACAGAGAAUUAGGGGAUGGGGAUGGGGUUACGAUUGCAACUAAAAAAAAUCUUAAAACAGAAGUGUUGUUAUCGAUGUUAUCUGACAAACGUUCUUUUAUAAGUUACCACCAUGUACAGUACACAUUCACAGUGUUUAACCGAUGAUUUCUUUGGCUGUUCAUAAUAACGUUCUUAACACCAUAUAUAGGUCUUUUCCAGUGUGGUGCCAUUCGUAUAAUAUAAUGAUUUUAUACUUGUUCGUAACAAUAUAACAUAAAUGAGAGGUGAUUGUACUUAACAUACAAUCCAUAGUACAAGCAGAGGUUUAAUCACUGGUAUGUAGAUGAUGUUCGACGUGAAAUAAACUGCUCCUCCGACGUUCUAACGAAUUAUACAGACGUAGAUUCAACGACCUGUGUGAUCUACCCUUUAAUCUUCUUCGCGGUUUCUAAUAAGUUGUUAAUACACCUUUUUCUGAAUAUAAAGCUAAGUUCGAGUUACUAUCAUUAGAGUGUAAACCGUGUGUUUUGAUACGUCAUUUUUCUUGUAAACAAAGACUACUAUUCGAACUCUACGAGAUGAACCUGUUAUUUCGGCUCCUCCAUUUCAACGUAAUUGAAAAAUGGUAAAAAUCUUAAGGAAUUGAUUAAUUAGAAUGUAUACAACGUGUCCUUGACUACCUACUACUCCAACUGUAGCAUAAUUACUUCUUCGUCUUGUACGAUCUAUCUUUCCACUAACUAAAAAAUUUUGAUAUAUGUGUGAAAUCUAAAAUAUCUACACAGAUUAAAAUUUUUACAUAUACAAACGUCAGUUUCUUAUUAUUUCAAAGUGGACCGCUUGAAAGUACGCUUGACCACGGACACUUUCUCCUCGGUGUACUGUCGUUACCCUGAUGUAAUUUGUUUCUAUUCUCAGUUCUGUUUUAUAGCAGUAGUAGGGCACUCGAGGCUUCACCGUUAUUUUCCUCUGACUCUAGACAACAUUAUAGUCUACUGAGCCUCCUACUUACGUAACUCUGCUUAUACGGAUUUGUUUUACUUUUUCCACAGGCGCCAUUGUUCUUUACACAAUUUCGUUUUCGGUUUUUAUGUUACGAACUUCUACUUCUACUUCAUGUCUUUCGUUCCGGGUCCUCUUGUUCCUACAAUAGAUCUAUUAAUCACCUAGUCAUCGAAUACUUGUACUAUUCAUUCUCAUGAACUGUACCUACUCCUAUUCUUCCUAUAAUAAUCUAAUUCCCACACUCACAAUGGUUACAAGAAUCUGUAGAUCCAUUAAUCACCUAGUCAUCGAAUACUUUAUUUAUCAUGUUAUCAGAUAAACAUAGCUGGUUCUAUUCAUUCUCAUAAACUGUAGCUGAACCUAUUCUUCCUAUAAUAAUAUAAUUCUCACACUUACAAUGGUUACAAGAUUUUGUCUAACUAAAUGAAAGAAGUACAUGAAAGGAAAUACAUGUUCGAUAAAAGUCGUUUAUACAUGUUUGGCCGUGUUAUCCAUCUUUGUGUGAUGUCCUCGUAUCAAAGGUGUAAUCCUAAGUUCAGUGUUAAACUUCUUUAAUAUUAAACCGUUUAGAUAUGGUCUGGUAGCGGUAUAUCUCCUUGUAUGGUCACUAUUCGUUCAGUUACCGCAGAACGACCGUUGACCUUAUACAAAGAGGCAAUGAACUACACCAAUGAUCUGCAAUGAAGUCUUUUAAGUUGUUCAAUCGAAAACGUGUUGUUUGGAUAUGUUUUUAAUUAUAGGUUCCACUGUAUAAUUUUGUAAUCUUCUAUUCCGGAAAUGUCGAAUUCUUUUAUUUGUUCUUAAUUAGAAGCCAUGUUUCCUACGUAUAGUAGUCAAACGUUAAUGUAAAUUUCAUCAGACUGUCGUUCUUGUCACUCCUCCUGUAGUAGAGUGCCAUCAGUCUAGGUUAGUAAGUGGUGGUCGUCCACUGAGCCACUCAAGGGAGUGUCGGAGGAGGUGACCCGGUUUGAUGUUGUGGAGACGGUACCAAAAGAUCGGCAGCCGGUACAGUAGAACCGGCUUUGGGAACUCUUGCGAGGUGGCUUGAGGUGCUCCAGCAGAUCCUAGAUCUAGGAACUCUUGCGCUGCUUGCGCAGGCACGUGAGGUGUGUUGCCGUUUGACGCGGUCUGCUUCUCUUCAACCUUCUUUAAUUACCUCUUCACGUCAGCGUUACCAAACCCUUAAUCAGGCGACUACCGUUCGCUGCUCUAGAAGUAGUCGACCUAUUACCUCUCCACCACGUCCGCCUACCUAUUCCAAUGACCACCCCUAGCUGACUCGACUCUCUAAAAAAGAAAAUAUUUUCUCCUC
rnacentral:rRNA from 1 species